AGUGAACGCUGGCGGUAGGCCUAACACAUGCAAGUCGAACGGCAGCACAGUAAGAGCUUGCUCUUACGGGUGGCGAGUGGCGGACGGGUGAGGAAUACAUCGGAAUCUACUUUUUCGUGGGGGAUAACGUAGGGAAACUUACGCUAAUACCGCAUACGACCUACGGGUGAAAGCAGGGGAUCUUCGGACCUUGCGCGAUAGAAUGAGCCGAUGUCGGAUUAGCUAGUUGGCGGGGUAAAGGCCCACCAAGGCGACGAUCCGUAGCUGGUCUGAGAGGAUGAUCAGCCACACUGGAACUGAGACACGGUCCAGACUCCUACGGGAGGCAGCAGUGGGGAAUAUUGGACAAUGGGCGCAAGCCUGAUCCAGCCAUACCGCGUGAGUGAAGAAGGCCUUCGGGUUGUAAAGCCCUUUUGUUGGGAAAGAAAAGCAGCAGGUUAAUACCCCGCUGUUCUGACGGUACCCAAAGAAUAAGCACCGGCUAACUUCGUG
rnacentral:rRNA from 1 species